AUGACCCUCAUCCCCAAGGUCCCGGGCGCCUCCAACAUCCGCCAAUUUCGGCCAAUCACAGUGAUUAAUGUGAUAUUUCGGAUCCUGGCCAAAGGGUACGCCAAUAGGGUGACCCUGCUUGCGGACACGAUUACCCACCCGAACCAAUCUGCCUUCAUACAAGGCCGAUUUAUUCUGGAUGGGGUUCUGGUUUUCCACGAAGUCCUCCAUGAGGUUCGGAUGAAACACCAUCGGGCGAUUUUAUUGAAGCUAGACUUCCACAAGGCCUACGACACGGUCCACUGGCCCUUCUUGCGGGAAGUGUUGCUUCACAAGGGCUUCGACGACCGGUGGGUGACUAGGGUCAUGCAACUUGUCUCUUGUGGCCGGACCGCUGUGAACAUCAACGGAGACAUCGGGCCCUACUUCCCCACCCUCUGUGGGGUUCGCCAGGGUGACCCUUUCUCGCCAUUCUUGUUCAACAUGGUGGUUGAUGUCCUUGCAUCCAUCCUUGAUAAGGCCAAAGAUGCUGUCCAUAUUUGCGGCAUCGUCCCCCACCUAGUCGGAGGGGGAGGGGUCUCCCUCCUCCAAUACGCGGACAAUACCAUAAUUAUGGUGGAGGGCUCCGUCCAAGACAUUGCUAACCUGAAGUUCCUCCUCCUGUGCUUCCAAUAG
rnacentral:rRNA from 1 species